CCCUAGCCCGGAUAGUAACGGAAAUCCUUUAAUUGCUUGACUGAGAUUUACCUUUGGUCAGUUCGGUUUUUCAAACCUCGGGUCUCCUUCGUCGAAAUGAAAAUAGCAAUUAAAGAUUGCAGUGGAUAGCCGGAACAGCU
rnacentral:sRNA from 1 species